AAAGGUGAAGUAUAAUUUAUUUUACAUUUCAGUUACAUUGAAAAAACCCAGAUAAUCAGGCACCUUUA
rnacentral:tRNA from 1 species